rnacentral:rRNA from 1 species
UACGUAGGGACCAAGCGUUGUUCGGAUUUACUGGGCGUAAAGGGCGCGUAGGCGGCUUAACAAGUCACUUGUGAAAUCUCCGGGCUUAACUCGGAACGGCCAAGUGAAACUGUCAAGCUAGAGUGCUGAAGGGGCAAUCGGAAUUCUUGGUGUAGCGGUGAAAUGCGUAGAUAUCAAGAGGAACACCUGAGGUGAAGACGGGUUGCUGGGCUGACACUGACGCUGAGGCGCGAAAGCCAGGGGAGCGAACAGG